GUGCUCGCUUCAGCAGCACAUAUACUAAAAUUGGAAUGCUACAGAGAAGACUAGCAUGGUUCCUGCUCAAGGAUGACACAGAAAUUUGUGAAGCGUUCCAUAUAUUU
rnacentral:snRNA from 1 species